GAAUGAAGAAGCAAAUAGGUACAAAUUAACAAAUGAUAAGAUUAUUGAUUUAAUCAUAACCAUUUUGUACUGUUUCCACUACUUCUGUGAUGGCUGUCGAAUAUCUUCAUGACCAUCCAAAAGUUCUUGAAGAACAAAGAAAAGAACACAUGGCAAUUAGAGAAAAGAAAAAGCCUGAGGAUCCUAUUGACUACAACGAUUACAAGGCAAUGCGGUUCACACGUGUUGAUGUGUAUUUGAGCUAAGAAAGGCACUUAUUUUAACCUUCCAAAGGUUCAGAAAGCCGCCACUCAUGCAUAUAGCCAACUGCCUUAUAACCAUCCGGAUGUUCAGAAAGCCGCCACUCAUGCAUAUAGCCAACUUGCUUAUAGCUGGAUGAUGUCCAGCAUUUAAGUCUGCUUUAUAUCGAAGUCCACAUCGAACCAUAAACACACAUAAUAACUAAGUAAACCUAUGAUGUAUUAUGAUUUCACUAGAAAAUUGAAACCUGCAAUGAACAUGCAGGUUAUAACUGAUGAAUUGUUGCUUCUUUGGCAGUGUUCUGAAUUACUGUGAUGCAGAUAGGAAGAUUCAUAUUCUUACAUUACUAGAACAAUUCCAGAACCACGUUCUUAUUUCAAUUUUCAGGUAAAGAUUCUAAAUUCGACAACAAUCCAUAAUUUUGUUCAUCUUUUAGUACCAAAGUCAAUUGUCUUAAUACAAUUGAUCUGCAAUUAUCUGUUUCAUUAUUUAUAUAGUGCAACCCUUCUCCAUCUCUUGUAUAAUUGCAUGUCACACACCCUCCUGCACCACCAAUCUUCAUUAGCUUUUUCUCAAGCAUAUUUCCCUUCCUAUUCUUUUGAGCAGUUAUACACAGAGGAAGCUUCAAUGAAGAAGCAUAGGCGUUAAAUAAGCUUUGUGCUUACCUACUUGUGUGUCUUUUUAAGUUUAGUGCCCAAUGGAUAUCACUAACUUUUAAUCUGUCUGGAUGAAUCUGAAGUAGUAAAAAGAUGGAGUUUUGUCAUAGAAACGUGAUGUUAAGACUAAAAAAAAUGAAGCAUUAAAACGCCAUCUUCUAAGCCUGUGAGAUUUGAAAGUUUCAGACUAUCCCUUAUAGCUUUUCCACUGCACAUGGCAUGAAUUACUUUAUACAUUAGAUUACUGUCAUGUUUAAAUAGGGUAAGAACAAGAGGCUAACAAAUUGAUAAAACAUCAUCUCAUAUAUCAGCUCUCUUAUUCGUUAAACAAUGUGAGAUGCAUUAACAUUUAUAUCUUGAUUUGCCUAUGCAUCUUCUCAUUUGUAGGUGGAUAUAUUUUUGUCUUAUGUUCUUCCUAUAUUUUGAUAGGAGGCAAAGAUUUUGAUUAAAUUCCCUUUACUGUACAGAUGCCAAUUAUUGGAACCUUUUAUUACUUCUUGGUGACACGUGUUGUGAUACUUUUAUUUGUAGGUCACAACUGGAUUCCACCGUUUCACUGAUUUUCCGCUCCUCCCAGAUUAUUGUUUAAUGUUUACUGCGAAUGUACUUUUCUUAGUUGAUGCAGAUAUGAUUCUCUUUUCCCUUUUUAUUCUUUUUGUUUUAAGCUUUCAACUUAUAUUUAUUUUCCUUGUGAAAUUCAUUUUCACUUAUGAUUAUGAAUGCUUCGUGUACAUGGAUACUGAGGCUAAGAGAAAACAAAUCUUUUGUGGUUAAGAAAACUGGAAAAGUUUAUAGUUUGACUUGUGCUCUUAUCCAAUCUAAUAGGGUUCUUCUUUGUCUUUCCAAAGCACUAAGUGGACUACUCAAAUGUCAUCCGCUUUGUUACAUGUACGAUCAUGAUUUUAAGUGUCCUUCAAUGAUUCGCAGGAAGGCAAGCAAAAAUAUUGAUGCUUUGAUUGAUGUAUCUCUGUAUUAUGAGGAGAUCGAUGCAUCUCUGUACCUACUUAUAUUCUAAAUUCGGCAAGAGGUAUCGAAUCUAACCUCAAUUUCUAUUUCAGCUUUAAUUAAACAAGUACCAGAGAGUCAGGAUGCUUCAAGGAAGAAAACAAGGAAAUAGACAAGCCAUUCUAUGAGGAGUGCAACAAAGGAGGUGCACCAACUAAUAAAGAGAAAAGAUAGAGGGAAUUGCAGAUCUCAAAGAGAAAAAAACACUUUCUUAUAUGCAGGCAAGCUAAGAUACAUAUGAUGAUGUUGCAAUCAAGGGUUCGCAACUAGGAAAAAGAAGAAGAAAUUUGUUCUUUGCUAAAUUAUCCUAAAAGUGUUUUGACUGAUGCUAGGCAUAAAUCACAAAGAGGUGAUUUGCCCUAUUUGAAGCAUAGUCACAUUAUCAGUUACUAUUCAUGGUGGAUCCUUUCAUGAAUGAUCAGUCUUGAAGACGUUUGUGUGUCAGUGAUGGAGGGACGAAUUAUUGAGGGAGGAGGAGGAGGAGAGGAUAGUGAAAGAUUUAUAUAAAGACGGAAGACCAUUGCAUUCUGUCAAGUGGUCAAGAUUUGGUGGAGGUGUUGUAGCAACUGUUCUUGCAACCUCCGGCCAGAAAGUUGUUCUCGAGAAAAGAAACUACUUCACCAAGUCUGAUUACUUCCCAAAUGUAUAAAUCAAGAGGAAUAGUCUCAACUUUGGAUGGAAAAAUAAUGAUCUUGCUAGGAUCAACAGUUAGUGAUGGCUCUACCAUUAAUUGGUGAGCCUGCAAAAAGAUUCCUAAUUCUGUCAUACAAAAAAGGGGCGAUGAUAAAAGAAUCCCAAUUUUCCAGAUCCCCGAGUAUGUAUCGGCUAAGGAUAAGGUUUGUCAACGAAUUAAUGUGACUGAAAAUUGCACGCAAGGAGGUCUCCAGAAUCAAAUUCUCCGGAAAGGAUGAGUCUUGAAGUUGAAGGCGUGCGACGCAACUCAUCUGAGAAUCAUUAUUGUGGCUCAUGCUGCUAUGGCUGCAGAAGAGGUGAAAAUAAAGAACUGUUACAACUUGGCUGGUGGGUGCGAUGGACUACUGAGAGUGAUUACAACCGGACGCAAAGCUGAGAGAUUCAUACUAGAAAAAACAAGUCUGGGAAAGAGAAAAAAUGUUCUUUUGUUGUUUCUCCUAACAGACUGAAUAUCAACUUAUUUGUUUGCUCUUUCUUUCAGCGGAGACUUAUCAUUUUUACUAUGUGUAUGCAAAAAUGGUGGCUCUGAUAAAUAUGAUCAUGAUGGAAAGUUGAAAUAUGCAAGUAAAUUUCGACCUCUCUAAAGACAGAUUUGUAGCUAAAGUUGCCCUGCCUUCAAUAUCCUCAGUGUGCCUUUCCCUUCAAAUUACCAAAAUAAAUUUUACUUUAUAUGCAUUUAUAUAGGGUGACCUUGAAUAGUAUAUUAUCUGUUCAAUGGUGAAAGUUCUGAAAUUUCGCAUAUAAUUUGUGCAGGUUUUGAUAAGUUUAUCAUUGGAGUCAUAUCCAGGAAGAAUAAGAGGUUAUUGUUCAAUAUUAGUUGAUGCUGCUAAGAGACGGAGUCAUAUGCUGGAAGAACAAUAGAGUUCAUGCAAUAUUAGUUGAUGCUGCUAAGAAAAUUCCUGAAGCAUGAUACAUCCAGUUCUCAUUAGCUAAUCAAUUGAUUAAAUACAUGUGAACUCCGUUUAAAUUUAUGAAAGUGGCUACUCCCUUGUUACGUUCAUUGUAUGAAUCUAUGUUCUAAUAUAAAAAUCCAGCAAAGUCGGGC